rnacentral:misc_RNA from 1 species
AAUUCGUCCACCCAAGGGGGUACUGUUGUAUGGACCUCCUGGGACUGGAAAAACAUUAAUGGCACGUGCUUGUGCAGCUCAAACAAAUGCGACAUUUUUGAAGCUUGCUGGCCCCCAGCUAGUCCAGAUGUUUAUUGGGGAUGGUGCAAAACUUGUACGUGAUGCCUUUGAGCUUGCAAAAGAGAAAUCUCCUUGUAUAAUUUUUAUUGAUGAAAUCGAUGCGAUCGGCACAAAGCGAUUUGAUAGUGAAGUGAGUGGUGAUAGGGAGGUGCAA